GAAUACAGUCAGUUGGUUAAAGAAGAACAACAAUCUCAUGAACAAACAGAAGGAAAGUUAAAACAAGCAGAGACAUUAGCAGAAGAAAAGCUGCAACAACUUCAAGAGAAUAGAAAGGAAUUCGAAGAAAAGGCUGAGCAACUCAAAAAGUUGCAUGAGGAAAAAUUAGCCGCAGUGUUAAGAAAAAGUGCAUCAGAAAUCAGCUGCAGAGAUGAGAAGAUCAGCAAACUGAAACAACAAAUUUCAGAGAUUUUACAAGGAAAAUCUUGGGAACGACAGCAACAGAUAUAUGAAUUGAAAAAGGAAGUAACGCGAUUAUCAGAGGAAGCCAGUAGACUUCAGAGAGAACUUACGUUGCAGAAAUCUCUCAAGCAGGAAUGUAAAAGCUGCAAAUCCCUGCCAUUGAAGAGAAGACCCUACAAGUAAACUUUAUAACUAAAAUAACUGAUGAACCACAGACAUCUUCAUUGAUUUGAAGAAAAGUUUUUGCAACAAGUGCAUAGGAACACACAACAAAUAAAUUAUUUUUCACAUUUACAAAUCAGUUGGUGAAACAUUUAAACUUUUCCUUUGCUAUAACAGGAAAAAGAGAAUUCUUUCUAUUUUAUCAAAAUGUCAUUCAUAAUAUCAACAGUGAUCAGUUGCAAGCUAUCAUUCCAUCAGAAUGUAGUUUAAACUUCAUUUUAACACUGAGGACUGCAGUUUCCACAGCAAAGAAAUUAGGUGUAUUUUAUUGUAAUUAAAAGAAAAUACAAUCAUCUGUGGCCAAUCUUACAACUUCAGCCCAGAGAUUGAGGUGUCCUAAGACACAAAUUUAUUUUUACAAGAUUUUUUCAAUCAGUAGCACUAUAAAUAAAAACUUAGAUUGACUAAUUUUUCAAAAUAUAAUGGCACUAAACAUUGUGAAAGCUAAAAUUCAAGGAGCACUUUCCUUUGACUGACACAUUUAUUAAAAGUUAAUUUCAUUUCAGUUGAACUUCAAACUGUCUAAAAAUGUUAAAGUUCUUCUGUAAUAAUGAAUGUAAAUUACGUAUAAUAAAAUCAUAUCUAUCAACAUUUUGGAAUGGAAAACGUGUCAUUUUCAAAGCUUCGCUCUCUACUCAACACUUCCUUGGACUGACAGUCAAGGUGAAACUGUCAUUUUUAGAGGAUGGUCUACUCUUGAUAAUAGGCAAUGAUUGUAAACAAUAAUUGUCCAGUAAUUCCAAUUAGGUGACACAAUUAAGAGAGGCUUUACCUUUACCUACCCAGCCACAAAAAGAUUUGAAUCUUCAAAGCUACACAUUGUGAACUUAUAGAAAUACUAUCUGAUGCAGUUUGCAACUCAAGAUUCAUUUUCAUGGUAUACAAAUUAAUUUCAGAGAUAUCUAUUAUAUUUAUCAUUAUGAUUUAUUUAUAAUGUACAUAAAUCACAUCUAUGCUGUGAUGAAUGUGUUCUUAAUUUGCAUUCAAGCCAUAGCUACAAUGUUAGUACAUCUAACAGUUGAUGAUUAUGAUUAAGAUUCUAAGUAGCAGCAGAUAUCGUCAAAUGGAGCUCAUUGACAAUAUAUUUUCUUAAUUUGUUCUUUCAUGCAAUGUGAGUGUCACUAACCCUAAUUUCACCUGAGAAGAUGAUGGUGAGCUACUUUCUUGAACCACACUAAUACAUCCAGUGCAGAUACACCCAUAGUGCCAUUAGGAAGGGACUUCUAUGCAUUUUACCAUGAAAGAAUGGCAGUAUAGUUCCAAAUCAGAAUGGUGUAGGGCUUGGAGGGGAACUUGCAGUUGGUGGUGUACUAAUGCAUCUGUUGCAUUUGUCCUUCUAGCUGUGCUAUCCAACACAUGGACUUUGAUUGACUGGUUGAUCAGAGUCUCUUAGCAGUUGAUUUCACCACUCAUCUGGGUUCCCUCACCACGCUCACAUUGAAUGCAGACUUCAUCAUUUUGUUUUAUAUUAUAUUAUAUUAUAUUAUAUUAUAUUAUAUUCCCUACAGUAUGGAAACAGGCCCUUC